AUUGAACGCUGGCGGCAUGCUUUACACAUGCAAGUCGAACGGCAGCACGGGGGCAACCCUGGUGGCGAGUGGCGAACGGGUGAGUAAUAUAUCGGAACGUACCCGGAAAUGGGGGAUAACGCAGCGAAAGUUGCGCUAAUACCGCAUAUGCCCUGAGGGGGAAAGCGGGGGAUCCGCAAGGACCUCGCGUUUUCGGAGCGGCCGAUAUCGGAUUAGCUAGUAGGUGGGGUAAAGGCCUACCUAGGCGACGAUCCGUAGCUGGUCUGAGAGGACGACCAGCCACACUGGAACUGAGACACGGUCCAGACUCCUACGGGAGGCAGCAGUGGGGAACUUUGGUACAAUGGGCGAAAGACCUGAUCCAGCCAUGCCGCGUGAGUGAAGAAGGCCUCGGUU
rnacentral:rRNA from 1 species